UACGAAGGUCCCAAGCGUUAUCCGGAUUUAUUGGGUUUAAAGGGUGCGUAGGCGGACUAUUAAGUCAGUGGUGAAAUCCUGCAGCCUAACUGUAGAAUUGCCAUUGAUACUGAUGGUCUUGAGUACAUUUGAAGUGGGCGGAAUGUGUCAUGUAGCGGUGAAAUGCUUAGAUAUGACACAGAACACCGAUUGCGUAGGCAGCUCGCUAAACUGUAACUGACGCUGAGGCACGAAAGCGUGGGGAGCAAACAGGAUUAGAUACCCUGGUAGUCCACGCCCUAAACGAUGAUCACUCGAUGUGUGCGAUACACUGUACGCGUCCAAGCGAAAGCAUUAAGUGAUCCACCUGGGGAGUACGGCCGCAAGGCUGAA
rnacentral:rRNA from 1 species